rnacentral:misc_RNA from 1 species
UUUCCGUAGGUGAACCUGCGGAAGGAUCAUUAUUGAAUAAACCUGAUGUGGUUGUAGCUGGCCCUUUCGGGAGCAUGUGCACACCCGUCGUCUUUAUCUUUCCACCUGUGCACCUUUUGUAGACCUGGAUGUAACACUUUCCGAGGCAACUCGGUCGGGAGGAAUGCUGUCAGCUUUCCUUGAAUGUCCAGGCCUAUGUUUUCAUAUACCCCAAAGAAUGUAACAGAAUGUAUUAUUGGGCCUUGUGCCUAUAAACUAUAUACAACUUUCAGCAACGGAUCUCUUGGCUCUC